rnacentral:rRNA from 1 species
AACGAACGCUGGCGGCAGGCUUAACACAUGCAAGUCGAACGCCCCGCAAGGGGAGUGGCAGACGGGUGAGUAACGCGUGGGAAUCUACCUAGUUCUACGGAACAACAGUUGGAAACGACUGCUAAUACCGUAUACGCCCUACGGGGGAAAGAUUUAUCGGAAUUAGAUGAGCCCGCGUAAGAUUAGCUAGUUGGUGGGGUAAUGGCCUACCAAGGCGACGAUCUUUAGCUGGUCUGAGAGGAUGAUCAGCCACACUGGGACUGAGACACGGCCCAGACCCCUCCGGGAGGCAGCAGUGGGGAAUAUUGGACAAUGGGCGCAAGCCUGAUCUAGCCAUGCCGCGUGAGCGAUGAAGGCCUUAGGGUUGUAAAGCUCUUUCAGUGGGGAAGAUAAUGACGGUACCCACAGAAGAAGCCCCGGCUAACUCCGUGCCAGCCGCCGCGGUAAGAC